UGGGGAAUAUUGCACAAUGGGCGCAAGCCUGAUGCAGCCAUGCCGCGUGUAUGAAGAAGGCCUUCGGGUUGUAAAGUACUUUCAGCGGGGAGGAAGGCGAUAAGGUUAAUAACCUUGUCGAUUGACGUUACCCGCAGAAGAAGCACCGGCUAACUCCGUGCCAGCAGCCGCGGUAAUACGGAGGGUGCAAGCGUUAAUCGGAAUUACUGGGCGUAAAGCGCACGCAGGCGGUUUGUCAAGUCGGAUGUGAAAUCCCCGGGCUCAACCUGGGAACUGCAUUCGAAACUGGUAGGCUAGAGUCUUGUAGAGGGGGGUAGAAUUCCAGGUGUAGCGGUGAAAUGCGUAGAGAUCUGGAGGAAUACCGGUGGCGAAGGCGGCCCCCUGGACAAAGACUGACGCUCAGGUGCGAAAGCGUGGGGAGCAAACA
rnacentral:rRNA from 1 species